AUGAGCAUCGUUUGCACAUAUCACACAUAUUUAACCAUUCUUCACUUUUUUUUAACCAUGCUCACUUUCUCUAAUAGUUUUUCUUAGUUAUUUUACAAAUAUCACUUUAAACUACAAAUAUGUAACUGUAAAUGCUUCAGUGUGUAUCUUUUGCCUAUAAGAGCAAUUCCCUACCUCUCCCAACAUCACACGAAGAAAAUAAUGAUUUUUCUUAACAUUUCUAACGUCCAGUCUCUAAUUCAUGUUUCUGCGGCUGUUGGUGUCUGUUGCAGCUUUCUGCUCCAACCACGCACUGCAGGGGGUCGUGAUGCCCACACCUCUGAGGAUCUGGGCAACACCUGGGCAGCCAUGACCCGACCCACGGCUGAAAUGAGAAAACACGCCCACCCUGGACGAAAGGGUUGAAGGGAAUGGUAGUUCCCGACGACGGGUGCCUGCCCCGCAGCACUCUGGGAAGGGGUCCCCGGCGCCCACUCUGCGCGGGCGCAGGCCCAGUCCCGCCCCCCAGUGUCCGUCCUCUGGGCUCGAAAGGCAAGCGUCCGCGUUCUUAGGUCUGCGUGGGAGUGGAGGCCGCGCACCUGGGGUGAACCUUCACAGGCCUCUACUUGCUUCCAGAAGCAGCAGAAAAUGAACAUGGUUCAGGACAUGACCGUGGAGCUCACCUGGGAGGAGUGGCAGCAGAUGGGCCCUGGGGAGCAGAGCCUGUACAGGGAUGUGAUGCUGGAGAACUAUGACCACCUCGUCACAGUGGGAUAUUAUAAAAUUGAUGACAAUAUAAAAGAGAUCCAGGAUAAACAAAAGAAGCCUGUGUGUCAGCAAUAUUCAUUGAUGAUAAUGAUAAAACAUUGAGUAAAGAAGAACAGAAACUUUUAGAAAGACCAUUAAAUCUGGGCAUAGCUCCAGAGUU